UCGGGAAUUUUGGGCAAUGGGCGAAAGCCUGACCCAGCAACGCCGCGUGAAGGAUGAAGUAUUUCGGUAUGUAAACUUCGAAAGAAUAGGAAGAAUAAAUGACGGUACUAUUUAUAAGGUCCGGCUAACUACGUGCCAGCAGCCGCGGUAAUACGUAGGGACCAAGCGUUGUUCGGAUUUACUGGGCGUAAAGGGCGCGUAGGCGGCAAUUCAAGUCAUCUGUGAAAUCUCCGGGCUUAACUCGGAACGGUCAGAUGAUACUGCUUUGCUAGAGUGCAGAAGGGGCAAUCGGAAUUCUUGGUGCAGCGGUGAAAUGCGUAGAUAUCAAGAGGAACACCUGAGGUGAAGACGGGUUGCUGGGCUGACACUGACGCUGAGGCGCGAAAAGCCAGGGGAGCAAACGGGAUUAGAUACCCUAGUAGUCCCUGAGCGGGCUGGCAAGGCGCAU
rnacentral:rRNA from 1 species